UACGUAGGCAGCAAGCGUUGUUCGGAGUUACUGGGCGUAAAGAGUGCGUAGGUGGUGACCUAAGUCAGUUGUGAAAUCUCCCGGCUUAACUGGGAGGGUGCGGUGGAAACUGGGGUGCUUGAGUGUGGGAGAGGUAAGCGGAAUUCCUGGUGUAGCGGUGAAAUGCGUAGAUAUCAGGAGGAACACCGGUGGUGUAGACGGCUUACUGGACCACGACUGACACUGAGGCACGAAAGCGUGGGUAGCAAACAGG
rnacentral:rRNA from 1 species